rnacentral:rRNA from 1 species
CGUGCUUAACACAUGCAAGUCGAACGGAAAGGCCCCGUUUUUGUGGGGUGCUCGAGUGGCGAACGGGUGAGUAACACGUGAGUAACCUGCCCUUGACUUUGGGAUAACUUCAGGAAACUGGGGCUAAUACCGGAUAGGAGCUCCUGCUGCAUGGUGGGGGUUGGAAAGUUUCGGCGGUUGGGGAUGGACUCGCGGCUUAUCAGCUUGUUGGUGGGGUAGUGGCUUACCAAGGCUUUGACGGGUAGCCGGCCUGAGAGGGUGACCGGCCACAUUGGGACUGAGAUACGGCCCAGACUCCUACGGGAGGCAGCAGUGGGGAAUAUUGCACAAUGGGCGGAAGCCUGAUGCAGCAACGCCGCGUGCGGGAUGACGGCCUUCGGGUUGUAAACCGCUUUCGCCUGUGACGAAGCGUGAGUGACGGUAAUGGGUAAAGAAGCACCGGCUAACUACGUGCCAGCAGCCGCGGUGAUACGUAGGGUGCGAGCGUUGUCCGGAUUUAUUGGGCGUAAAGGGCUCGUAGGUGGUUGAUCGCGUCGGAAGUGUAAUCUUGGGGCUUAACCCUGAGCGUGCUUUCGAUACGGGCUGACUUGAGGAAGGUAGGGGAGAAUGGAAUUCCUGGUGGAGCGGUGGAAUGCGCAGAUAUCAGGAGGAACACCAGUGGCGAAGGCGGUUCUCUGGGCCUUUCCUGACGCUGAGGAGCGAAAGCGUGGGGAGCGAACAGGCUUAGAUACCCUGGUAGUCCACGCUGUAAACGGUGGGUACUAGGUGUGGGGUCCAUUCCACGGGUUCCGUGCCGUAGCUAACGCUUUAAGUACCCCGCCUGGGGAGUACGGCCGCAAGGCUAAAACUCAAAGGAAUUGACGGGGCCCCGCACAAGCGGCGGAGCAUGCGGAUUAAUUCGAUGCAACGCGUAGAACCUUACCUGGGUUUGACAUGGAUCGGGAGUGCUCAGAGAUGGGUGUGCCUCUUUUGGGGUCGGUUCACAGGUGGUGCAUGGCUGUCGUCAGCUCGUGUCGUGAGAUGUUGGGUUAAGUCCCGCAACGAGCGCAACCCUUGUUCACUGUUGCCAGCACGUUAUGGUGGGGACUCAGUGGAGACCGCCGGGGUCAACUCGGAGGAAGGUGGGGAUGACGUCAAGUCAUCAUGCCCCUUAUGUCCAGGGCUUCACGCAUGCUACAAUGGCUGGUACAGAGAGUGGCGAGCCUGUGAGGGUGAGCGAAUCUCGGAAAGCCGGUCUCAGUUCGGAUUGGGGUCUGCAACUCGACCUCAUGAAGUCGGAGUCGCUAGUAAUCGCAGAUCAGCAACGCUGCGGUGAAUACGUUCCCGGGGCUUGUACACACCGCCCGUCAAGUCAUGAAAGUUGGUAACACCCGAAGCCGGUGGCCUAACCGUUGUGGGGGAGCCGUCGAAGGUGGGACUGGUGAUUAGGACU